rnacentral:rRNA from 1 species
AUUAAACGCUGGCGGCAUGCCUUACACAUGCAAGUCGAACGGUAGCGCGGGGCAACCUGGCGACGAGUGGCGAACGGGUGAGUAAAGCAUCGGAACGUGCCCUGGAACGGGGGAUAACGUAGCGAAAGUUACGCUAAUACCGCAUAUUCUGUGAGCAGGAAAGCAGGGGAUCGCAAGACCUUGCGUUCUGGGAGCGGCCGAUGUCGGAUUAGCUAGUUGGUGGGGUAAAAGCCUACCAAGGCGACGAUCCGUAGCGGGUCUGAGAGGAUGAUCCGCACACUGGGACUGAGACACGGCCCAGACUCCUACGGGAGGCAGCAGUGGGGAAUUUUGGACAAUGGGCGGAAGCCUGAUCCAGCCAUGCCGCGUGAGUGAA